UACGGAGGAGGCAAGCGUUAUCCGGAAUUAUUGGGCGUAAAGCGUCCGCAGGUGGCACCUCAAGUCUGCUGUCAAAGACCGGGGCUUAACCCCAGAAAGGCAGUGGAAACUGAAGUGCUAGAGUGCAGUAGGGGUAGAGGGAAUUCCCGGUGUAGCGGUGAAAUGCGUAGAGAUCGGGAAGAACAUCGGUGGCGAAAGCGCUCUACUGGACGGCAACUGACACUCAGGGACGAAAGCUAGGGGAGCGAAUGGG
rnacentral:rRNA from 1 species